GUAACAUAAUUAAACCUGUUGCUUAAAGAAACGGCAGUAGCACCUGAAUUAAAUGGAGCAUUCCGGCUGAUAAUGAAGUGUGCACCUUUCCGCGAUGAGAUUUCAGUUGAAUCGGACGAAUCGGAAGAGGAAUCUAAACGAGAGGAGUCUGCUUGUAGUAAGUAUUUAAAAAUGGAAAUCAUCGAAAUUAUAUUUUGUACAGACCAUUUAUAAACCGGGGCCACAGGGGCUCGGUGAUUAAGUCGCUGACUCAUUAACCAGCAGGUCCGGGUUCGAUCCCGGUGUUGGGUGAGAAAUUUCCAUGUAGGAUUUAUAAGUGGUGUAGCAUGGAUAGUGUGACAAAGAAGACUCGCUCCCGGUGUUGGUCGAGAACGUUCGUCGAGAUUUUCCGGUGGGGUUUCCCCUUGUCAUUGCAGGACGUAAAAGAUCCCAUGGCAGUUUGAAUUCGAUAUAAAAAUAGACCGUAGCGCCGCUGUCCGGGCAAAAUUGCUUAUAGCAUAUUGCAUGACGUAUGCCCGUUUUCAUUAGCCCAGUCAGAGCAGAACAUUUUAUUUGGUUAAUCGCGGUGGCGAACAAAUUGGUUAUUAGUAUUGAAAAGUUCAUGAAUAAAUGUAUACGUCAAUGUUUGAUGGGUCGUCCAAACCCAAAUAAUAUGACACAUGGUGGGGCUUAUAAACAUUAAGAUGGGAUUGUUUCCAUGGACGACUUUGAUGUAAAAGGACCCAGACACGUACUUUUAAAUCUGAUAAAACACAGAUCCUAUUCGUUCCGUUUUUUUAUAGUUCAAAAUUUCGUUUUACUUGUCUUCACAGCACUAGAAUCUGGAAGAGUUGUUAUAUAACAGGCGUUCUGUCUGAUGUGAGGAAUUAGUCAAUGAACCGGCCUGUUACGGUGACUUCUUGGCGCGCCGUGCAUGGAACUGUUGUUAAACCACUAGAAACGUCAACGCUGGUUGAUUAAUCAAUGCCUGACGUCAUAGGGUGAAAAGACGCUCGUAUGACUCCUGAAACGAACUCGCACUACAGUCAGAUCUUCGUGUGGUAGAGGCCGUCAAAAGUACAAAAAACGAAACGAAAUAUAGAUCUGUAUUUUAAUCGGAUCGGGGUGAGAUGUUUGUAAUCUAUAAACGUAAUGUCUAACA